CGGCAGUGACUGGCAAAUCUUAAGACAAAACUUACCUUCACGUGGGGCACUUUGUCCUCUGCAUCUUAUAAGUUUAAUUCUAGCCACUGCUUCAUUUUCUCUAGCAGUAUAUUAGUCUUACAAAUUUCAUAGCCUCAGGUGUCCAUUUGGGGUCUGUAGCUUUAGCCCUUGCCUGGUUUCUGCUCUCUUUGUAGUUAGAAUCAUAUUUUAAUAUAACUAAGUCAUACCCUAUUAUUUUUUUUUUUUUACAAUUCAGUGGUUUUUAGCAUAUUCACAAAGUUGUGCGACCAUCACCACAAUCUAAUUUAAGAACUUUUUCAUCACCUCCGUAAGAAACCACCCAUCCAUUAGCUGUCACUCUUCAUUUCCCUUACUCUUCUGCCAGCCCUAAUUAACCACUCGUCUAUUUUCUGUCUCUGUAAUCUGUCAUUUCUACUGUUGGUAGAGAGGAUAAGUGCAGAUGGGGAGAAAGGUGAGCUCUGGUUCAGAAGUGAGCUUCUGCUUCUGAUUUCUGCUUAUCUGCCAUCCCCCAAACUUGAAGUUAAAUAAAACUCCUUGCCUCUUUGAAGAUGUUCUUCCAAAGAUUUCCAUCUGAUCUCCAAAAGAUAAUUAUACAUAAUAUCUGUAAACAUAAAUAUAUUCCUAAAUGUACUCUUAUUUCAUAAGUUUGAUCUUAUUUCUUGUGAAUGAGUGAUCCUAGUGCACACACAUGCACACACACUCACCUGGCCCCUAUAUUUCAAAGCCUUCUUCAAAGCCAGACAAAGCCAGACAAUGAAGGGCAUCAUGCCUCAAACACUGUCCCCUAAUUUCCUGAUUCCUAGGUUUUCCAAAUCAGGCUGCCAUACUUAUAUCUUGGUGAUUUUUAGAUAUCUCACAAUACUAAGUAACAGUAAAGAGUGGGAGUCAGUAGAAUGAACCAUGGGGAAUGACUUGGGGGAAACACCCCUGUCUGCUGUGUAUACAAUUAGAAUUGACCAGGGAGAGACAAAGAGGGGUGGCAGGGCAGUAUGAGAAGGCUCUUUAGCAGUUAUCUUUUCCAGCUAGAGCAUCUUGGCCUACCUAGCAUCCCCACCCCUCCAGAGUGGUCCUUUGUGAUGUCUAAGCUCCCCUUAACCACCAUUGGCUGCAGUGAGUGCCCUGCUGACUAAACAGAGCAGAAGGGGUGUGACUCCCCAUUGUUCUGGGAGAGGUAUAUAUACAGAGGACAAACUCCUGGGGUUAGACAACUGAGAGGCUGCAAGAUGGCAAAAGUGGUGAAGAAAUCAUGGAAACCACAAACCACAAGCACCAAGCGGUGGAAGAAGAGGAAGACCACCUCUCAACCCAGAUCAAGAGGCAUUAGCAAGGUGCUAAAGACAUACAAGAAGAUGAAAAGAUCACUUCACAUGAGUUUAAGAAAAAAAAUACUCUCCUAAAGUUAUAACUACUUCAAGAAGAAAGAAGAGAGCAAGGAGGGCCAAUUAAUUUCACCCAUAGACUGAGCCAAAAGCAGCCAGGCCAGACCCAACGGACUCUAUAGAACUACACCAUUCCAAGACAAGACCGGUGCAAACACUACAUACAGAGCAAGCUUCAGAGACCUCAGACGGUCUGCCUCUAGAGUCCUGGCUGCGGAGAAGUGGCCAACUGCGUAGAGACUGAUACAGAUGCUAAUAUGAAACAUGGAACACAAAUGGAGGUGAUUAAAAUAAAACCAAUAGGGUGUAAGAAGCCCCUCCAAAAAAUAAAAUCAGGCAUUCUGCAUAGAAA